CACCCUCUUUAACCAGGGUGUUGAGUGGGGACGUGACCUCCUAGUCUGUUGGGGGUGCAGCUCUCAGAGGCCAGCUCCCACCAGUGAGCUCCUGUGGGAGCUGAGAGGGGCCUACCAGCCCUGAAGCUGAGGGAGCCACGUAACCUUUCUAGGAGACGGGGGGGGGGGGGGAUAAAAGGCACCUACAGCACACCUCCUUCAAAAAUAAAAACUAGGGGCCAGGUGGUGGUACUCCAGGUUAAGUGCACAUAGUAUGUGCAGGGACCCACCUGCAGUGUGGAUGUUUCACGAGCAGUGAAGCAGGUCUGCAGGUGUCCAUCUCUCUACCUCUAUGUCUCCCCCUCCCCUCUCAGUUUCUUUCUGUCCUAUUGAAGAGAAUAAAAGGGGCAAAAAUGGAAAAAAUGGCCAAAAAAUGGCCACCAGGAGAGGUAGAUUCAUAGUGCCAGCAUCAAGCCCUCACAGUAAGCCUAGAAAGAAAGAAAGAAAGAAAGAAAGAAAGAAAGAAAGGAAGAAAGAAAGAAAGAAAGAAAGAAAGAAAAAGAAUUGUUGUGGAGCCUGUAGACAUGAUCACGUACCUGUAAGUAAAAGAUGGAGCCACGGCCUUCCUAAAAUAGGAGCACACAAGUAAUCGUCUUUAUCAAGCGAGUCAAGGAACACGGCAAGAUACCAGAAGAUGAAAUGGAAGAAGGGGCAUAAGAAAUGAAAAGCAUGACAUCAAGUGGAGACAAGAUUGGGGCGCAUGGCAGGGAAGACACGGCUGGAAACAACACAGGAGGCGGAUGCCACAGGGACAGCAGCAAAAUAAAGGGCGGGUGAGGGAGACGAAGACCCAGAGACGGCGGUCACAGUGGAAGAGGGUCAGCAGACACGUGAUUAGGUUCAUAAAUCAGGCAGCUGACAUGGUGUCACAAAAGGCAUCUUUGGGAUGUAGUGCCAGGGAACUUUGCUAAAGUUAAACCUCUGAAUUUUCUUUUAUUUUUUCAGUUUCUUUACUAGGGGAUUAAUGGUUUACGGCUGACAGUGAAAUACAGUAGUCUGUACAUGUAUAACAUCACACAACAAUACAACCCGCACAAGGCCCUCCUCUGCCAUCCUGUUGCAGGACCUGAACCCUCCCCUCAACCCACCCCAGAGUCUUUUACUUUGGUGCAAUACACUAACUCUAGUCCAUGUUCUGCUUAGUGUUUUUCCUUCUGAUCUUGUUUUUUCAACUUCUGUCUAUGAGUGAGAUCAUCCCAUAUUCUCCCUUCUCUUUCUGACUUACCUCACUUUUUU